rnacentral:rRNA from 1 species
UAAGGAAUAUUGGUCAAUGGACGCAAGUCUGAACCAGCCAUGCCGCGUGAAGGAUGAAGGUCCUCUGGAUUGUAAACUUCUUUUAUCUGGGACGAAAACGGGAUUUUUAUCUCAAUUGACGGUACCAGAGGAAUAAGCACCGGCUAACUCCGUGCCAGCAGCCGCGGUAAUACGGAGGGUGCGAGCGUUAUCCGGAUUUACUGGGUUUAAAGGGUGCGUAGGUGGGCUUAUAAGUCAGUGGUGAAAUCUCCGAGCUUAACUUGGAAACUGCCGUUGAUACUAUAGGUCUUGAAUUAUCUGGAGGUAAGCGGAAUAUGUCAUGUAGCGGUGAAAUGCUUAGAUAUGACAUAGAACACCAAUUGCGAAGGCAGCUUACUACAUAUAAAUUGACGCUGAGGCACGAAAGCGUGGGGACCAAACA